GACGAACGCUGGCGGCGUGCUUAAUACAUGCAAGUCGAACGGAAAGACCCUGCUCUUGUGGGGCGCACGUGUGGCGAACGCGUGAGUAACACGUGAGUAUCCUGUACCUGUAUUAGGGAUAACUUUAGGAAACUGGGGCUAUUACAGGAUAGGAGCUCUUGCUGCAUGGUGGGGGUUGGAAAGUUUCGGCGGUUGUGGAUGGUUUGGCGGCUUAUCAGCUAGUUGGUGGGGUAGUGGCUUACAAAGGCUUUGACGGGUAGCCGGCCUGAGAGGGUGACCAGCCACAUUGGGCCUGAGGUACGGCGCAGACUGCUACGGGAGGCAGCAGGGGGGAGUAUGACGCAACGGGGGGAAGCCAGAUGCAGCGACGCCGCGUGCGUGAUAACGGCCUUCUGGUGAUAAACCGCUUUCUCCUGAGACGAAGCGGGAGUGACGGUAAUGGGUAAAGAAGCACCGGCUAACUACGUG
rnacentral:rRNA from 1 species